CUGGCUUCUUAGGAGGAGGAGGAAGAAACUUUCUUCUACCCUUCUAAAUUCUUCUGGCUGGUCUAAGAAUUAAAUUGACAUGUCACGGAUUAACAGGAGAAAAUCCAAUUUAAUUUCAUACGUA